GACGAACGCUGGCGGCGUGCUUAACACAUGCAAGUCGAACGGAAAGGCCCUGCUUUUGUGGGGUGCUCGAGUGGCGAACGGGUGAGUAACACGUGAGUAACCUGCCCUUGACUUUGGGAUAACUUCAGGAAACUGGGGCUAAUACCGGAUAGGAGCUCCUGCUGCAUGGUGGGGGUUGGAAAGUUUCGGCGGUUGGGGAUGGACUCGCGGCUUAUCAGCUUGUUGGUGGGGUAGUGGCUUACCAAGGGUUUGACGGGUAGCCGGCCUGAGAGGGUGACCGGCCACAUUGGGACUGAGAUACGGCCCAGACUCCUACGGGAGGCAGCAGUGGGGAAUAUUGCACAAUGGGCGGAAGCCUGAUGCAGCAACGCCGCGUGCGGGAUGACGGCCUUCGGGUUGUAAACCGCUUUCGCCUGUGACGAAGCGUGAGUGACGGUAAUGGGUAAAGAAGCACCGGCUAACUACGU
rnacentral:rRNA from 1 species